GCUUACGGCCACACAGCCUGGUUCUCUCCUGAUCUCGUUUGAUCUCGGAAGCUAAGAUAGGUUGGGCCUGGUUAGUACUUGGAUGGGAGACCGCUGGGAAUACCAGGUGCUGUAUGCU
rnacentral:rRNA from 1 species